rnacentral:rRNA from 1 species
AGAUUUAUCGCUAUUGGAUGAGCCCGCGUCUGAUUAGAUAGUUGGUGGGGUAAUGGCCUACCAAGUCUACGAUCAGUAGCUGGUCUGAGAGGACGAUCAGCCACACUGGGACUGAGACACGGCCCAGACUCCUACGGGAGGCAGCAGUGGGGAAUAUUGGACAAUGGGCGCAAGCCUGAUCCAGCCAUGCCGCGUGAAUGAUGAAGGCCUUAGGGUUGUAAAGUUCUUUCGUUGGUGAAGAUAAUGACGGUAACCAAAGAAGAAGCCCCGGCUAACUUCGUGCCAGCAGCCGCGGUAAUACGAAGGGGGCUAGCGUUGUUCGGAAUCACUGGGCGUAAAGCGCACGUAGGCGGUAUAGCAAGUUAGGGGUGAAAUCCCAGGGCUUAACCCUGGAACUGCCUUUAAAACUGCUAUGCUGGAGUCUCGGAGGGGAUGGU